GGCUCGUUGGUCUAGGGGCUAUGACACCUGCCUACUGUGCGGGAGACCUGGGUUCAAAUCCCGGACGAGCCA